GAAGAGCAGGUCAUUAACGUGGGGGCAGACCCUGAGCCAGGCUGCAGCAUGACGCAGCAAUUUCGUCCAGACAGCGUAAGACCAGGUAGCAAAGGGCAGAGCCUGGGCCUUACAUGACAGGUGGGGGCAGGUCACCGGGAAGGGGCAGGGCCUGUACCGUGACUGGCAGGCAGAAAGGGUGGGGCCUAUACCUUGAGUGACAGGCAGGAGGGGCAGGUCACUGGGGAAGGGGCAGGGCCUGUACUAUGAGUGGCAGGCAGGAGGGGCAGGGCCUGUAUCAUGAGUGGCAGGCAGUAGGGGCGGGUCACUGGGGAAGGGGCAGGGCCUGUACUAUGAGUGGCAGGCAGGAGGGGCAGGGCCUGUACCAUGAGUGGCAGGCAGUAGGGGCGGGUCACUGGGGAAGGGGCAGGGCCUGUACUAUGAGUGGCAGGCAGGAGGGGCAGGGCCUGUAUCAUGAGUGGCAGGCAGUAGGGGCGGGUCACUGGGGAAGGGGCAGGGCCUGUACUAUGAGUGGCAGGCAGGAGGGGCAGGGCCUGUAUCAUGAGUGGCAGGCAGUAGGGGCGGGUCACUGGGGAAGGGGCAGGGCCUGUACUAUGAGUGGCAGGCAGGAGGGGCAGGGCCUGUACCAUGAGUGGCAGGCAGGAAGGGUGGGUCACCAAGGAAGGGGCAGGGCCUGUAGCAUGAGUGGCGGGAAGGUCAACAGGGAAGGGACAGGGCCUGUAGCAUGAGUGGCAUGCAGAAGGGGUGGGGCCCGUACCACGAGUGGCAGCCAGGAGGGGCAGGUCACCAGGGAAAGGGCAGCCCCUACAGG